rnacentral:misc_RNA from 1 species
UGCAUAUACACAACCCACUACACUUGCUAAUGCAAUAUUUAUAUUGAUUCUUCCAUGAUUGCAACUCAUUUUGGUCAAAAUCAAGAAGGGGGAAAAAUUUUAAGAAAAAUCCACAAAAGUAAAAUUCAUGUAUUAUAAACUCCCCACAAGCAAAUAAUUCAAAUACAAAACAACUCUACAAAGGAAAGAUGAUAUACCAUUUCCCUACUAGGUAAAGAAAUGAACAAACUUUUAUCUACCUCUUGAACUGAAAUGGCCAGAAAUCAUAACCAAGUGAAGACAAUACUAAUCAACUCCCUAAUCUAAUCUUUAUAAUUGAUUUGGUAAGAUGGUGUAAACUAUGAUUUCUGUUCAACAUGUGCUAAUGGGUG